GCUGCGGCCGGCCUCGAUCCCUAGCCCCGCACCCCGCGCCUCGCUGCUACCGGGCGCCUUUCGCUCGCGGCUCCUCCGUGCGGCCCGCUUCCGGUGGGGCCAGGGCGUCUCCGCCGCAGCUCGGCUCCCGCGCGCUCAGCACCGCCAGCGGCGGCCAGAUGCAGGCGGAGCGAGGAGCUCGGGGAGGCCGUGGGCGGCGGCCAGGCCGCGGCCGGCCUGGCGGAGAUCGCCACAGCGAGCGGCCCGGAGCCGCAGCGGCGGUAGCCAGAGGCGGCGGCGGAGGCGGCGGCGGGGACGGAGGCGGACGCCGGGGCCGUGGCCGUGGCCGGGGCUUCCGCGGCGCUCGCGGAGGCCGAGGAGGAGGAGGCGCCCCGCGAGGCAGCCGCCGGGAGCCGGGAGGCUGGGGCGCAGGGGCCAGCGCGCCGGUUGAAGAUGACAGCGAUGCAGAGACCUAUGGAGAAGAGAAUGAUGAACAGGGAAAUUAUUCUAAAAGAAAGAUUGUCUCUAACUGGGAUCGAUAUCAAGAUAUUGAAAAAGAGGUCAAUAAUGAAAGUGGAGAGUCACAGAGGGGAACAGAUUUCAGUGUCCUCCUUAGCUCUGCAGGGGACUCAUUCUCACAGUUCCGGUUUGCUGAGGAGAAAGAAUGGGAUAGUGAAGCUUCUUGUCCAAAACAGAAUUCAGCAUUUUAUGUGGAUAGUGAGUUAUUGGUUCGAGCCCUUCAAGAGCUGCCUCUCUGCCUCCGACUCAACGUUGCUGCCGAACUGGUCCAGGGUACAGUUCCUUUAGAGGUUCCUCAGGUGAAACCAAAGAGAACUGAUGAUGGCAAGGGAUUAGGGAUGCAGUUAAAGGGGCCCUUGGGGCCUGGAGGAAGGGGGCCCAUCUUUGAGCUGAAAUCUGUGGCUGCUGGCUGCCCUGUGUUGCUGGGCAAAGACAACCCAAGCCCGGGUCCUUCAAGGGAUUCUCAGAAACCCACUUCCCCACUGCAGUCAGCAGGAGACCAUUUGGAAGAAGAACUAGAUCUGUUGCUUAAUUUAGAUGCACCUAUAAAAGAGGGAGAUAACAUCUUACCAGAUCAGACGUCUCAGGACCUGAAAUCCAAGGAAGAUGGGGAGGUGGUCCAAGAGGAAGAAGUUUGUGCAAAACCAUCUGUGACUGAAGAAAAAAACAUGGAACCUGAGCAACCAAGUACCUCCAAAAAUGUUACCGAGGAAGAGCUGGAAGACUGGUUGGACAGCAUGAUUUCCUAAAAAGGGGAAAAAAAGUGCCUGAAGCAAAUCUUGGUUGCCUUCUAACGGCAGGAAGACUGAUGUGAAUUUAUAUGAGGCCAAACCUGCACAUUCAUUCUUGCUCUAUUCCCAGCACAGGCUGUUUGGGAAGCAAGAAGCCAUGUCUCUCUGACACAUGCUGGCAGGGAAGGAGAAAAAUCCCCCUCUGCCCCAAACAAGCAAAACUGAAACCAAUCAAUGUUUGCCACUAAACAUACUUAAAGAUUUAGCAAUAAGCUGAUUCCAUGCCGCUGGUGGAAGACGGAGGAAUGCUUGAGGGAACGUUUAUUGCAUGCUGAAUCCAGAGCUGGAAACCAGGUACCUCUCCCAUUGAAUGAGUGAACUGUAAAGUUUUCCUACAAAGCCAAUGAUGUUUGAAUAUUUGAUAACUGACUUUUUCCUCCCUUGUUCUCUACCUUUCCAUUUCUUUUUCACAUUUAGUCACAAAAUUUGACACAUCCUUUCACUCAUCCUCUCACAUGCACACCUCCAGGCUCCUGUGUCACCCACACAUGAGGUCGUUAUCUUUCUUAGCCUGUCUCUCACUCCGUUGUACUCUGAUUUUUCUGCUCUUUGUUGCAGCCACCCACUCCAUUUCUUAUUGUCAGACAAUUUCUUAUUUCAUAUUGUCUCUGUAAUGUUCUCCCCACCUCCAGCUCUUCUAGUCUGAAGCAGUAGCUAUAAGCAUUUAGAAAAUGUCAGUGUUUGUUGGGAAGGAUAAACAGGAGGACUUUGGCUUCUUAUUGAGUCACAAAAAGGUGAUGGGAAAAUGCAUUCACGGGAUUAAUGGGGCCAUGUAUGUAUUUCAGAUAACCUAUGCCCUACUAAGUCUCAAGAUUUAGGAAAGGGAGAUCUAACACGGGUAUAUGAUUCUUAAUUUCUCACCUGACCCGUGUGCUCUGUUUCAUCUUUAUUAAUCAAAUACAUCAGAAAGAACCUGGAACGAGGAAAAGAUAGUAUUAGAUACUCUGGUCAAGACCCAAGUUCAUUCGCAUGGAUUAACUGUGAUCAGGGCUCAGAAAGGCUAGUUGGUCCCACGCUAUCUACAGUGACUUAAAUGAUCAGGGAAGUGUGGCAUAAGGACACAAACCAUCAUUUUCUAAUAGUAGCACACAUGAAUCUCAAAAUUAGCCACUUUGUGAGGAGAGAUGCUUUUUGCCAUCCCUAUACCUUGAACUAAGUAAGAUCACUUGCAAGGUAGCAUUUUGGCCACCAUUUUAUUGUUAACAAAAUUCUAAUAAAACAAUAAAAUGGUAGCCCAAAUUCUUACCAUAGAAUAUUUAACAGGCCAUUUAUCAUCUCAUAAAAAUGUAGAAUUGAAUUGAAAUUAAUUAUGUGUGUGUCUCAAGAAUAUCUGUCAUGGAAAAGUUAGAAAGUAUUUAAUCUCAUGGAGAUUCUUCCAGAACUAUAGUUUUGUUUUCAUCAUAAAUAGCUGCGGGAAUGCCAGUGUAGUUUCACUUGCUCUGUGAUCCAUAUCUUAGGUUUGAGUUUGUCUGUGACACAUAAGUAUCCCAGGGGGCAGGGGCUGAACUCUCAGCUCACAUUAUAUGAUCUCAGAGACCGUUUCCAAAGGAACCAGGCUCUUGCCCUUCCGGAAAAGGAUUGUGAAGUUGGUGAUAUGAGAAAGUAGAAAUUAUGUCCUUCUGAGGGUGGAGAGUCUAAGCCCCAGAUCUUGAGUUCUGUCAUGGUGGUAUAGUGUAUAGAGCGUCAGGUCCUGGCCCACAGUAGCAGCUCUAAGUAUGUUCACUGCCUUUCCGCUUCUCAUUUACUGAGAAAGACAGUAGGGUUAAUCUCUUUAUCCUGUUUGAUACGUAGGGGCUGAGGACAUCAUUCCUUGCCCAGCACAUUUAUUUAACAAAGCACCAUUUUAGGUGGGAGGCUCAAACACGAAUAAAAUUGGGUUCUUUCCCCUCAAGCUUGCUCCUAGAGGGGAUAGAGAUAGGAAAGAGACCAGUGUAACAGUGCCAUGGGAAGGCACAGAAGGGGUUCCAACCCAAAGGACAGCAUCCUUCCACUGGUCUAUAACCCAUGGGUACAGACACGUGGCCAUGGGCUCAUUAACCUCCAUUAAGAUGUAUAUUCUCUUAAUGGGAAUUGAUGAUAAAUACUCAUGAGGAAGGGCACAGUAAAGUUAUCUUUUUAAAACUCAAGUUUUUGAGGCCGGGUGUGAUGGCUCACGCCUCUAAUUCCAGCACUUUGGGAGGCUGAGGCCAAGGCAGGUGGAUCACUUCAGGUCAGGAGUUUGAGACCAGCUUGGCCAACACGGUGAAACCCUGUCUCUACUAAAAAUACAAAAAUUAGCCCAGGAUGGUGGCAGGUGCCUGUAGUCCCAGCUACUCAGGAGGCUGAGGCAGGAGAAUCACUUGAAUCCAGGAGGUGGAGGCUACAGUGAGCCAAGAUGGCGCCACUGCACUUCAGCCUGGGUGACAGAGACUGUCUCAAUAAAUAAAAAAACAAAACUCAUGUUUUUGACUUAAACUCAUCCCCCAGCAAAAACAUGUUAUCUUUGCCACUUCUGACAAUGCCUUCUCCAAAGGCUGAGCCUGCUCUAGCCUAAAGAAAGAUGAGGGCUCAGCCCAGUGGCUCACACCCGUAAUCCCAGCACUCUGGGAGGCCAAGGUGGGUGGAUAGCUUGAGCUCAGGAGUUCGAGAUCAGCCUGGGCAAUACAGCAAAGCCCCUUCUCUACCAAAAAAAAAAAUUAGCUGGUGCUAAAUUAGUGGUACACCUGUCCCAGCUACUCAGGAGGCUGAGGCGGAUGUCUUGAGCCUGGGAGGUGGAGGUUGCAGUGAGCCAAGAUCAUACCACUGCACUCGAGCCUGGGCAACGGGGUUGAGACCCUAUCUAUCUCGAAAGAUGAGGACUCUCUAAGCUACAAAAUAGAGAGAGAAGGGGGAAGAGCUAGGCUGGGGAGCAGAGCCCAGCAUUUUAUUUUUUUUCUUGUAAAUGAACAGUUACAGGGUCUGAGUUAUCAGGUAAUAAAAUCUAUACACUCUAUACAUUCUGUUUUAAGUUUUAUAGGAAGUCCCUAGCACCCAAUAGGUUCAAGUAACUUGUUAUUCAGUGAAUGCUUUACCGUAGAAUAAGUGAAACACUUAUUAGUUGCCUACUGGGUGCCAGGCAUUGUUCUAGGUACUGGGAUAAAGCAGUAUGAGGCUGGGCACAGUGGCUCACACCUGUAAUCCUAGCACUGAGAGGCCGAGGCAGGCAGAUCACCUGAGGUCAGGAGUUCAAGACCAGCCUGGCCAACAAAAACAAAAAAAGGCAGUAUGAAAACAGACAUGCCCAAAAAUAUCCCAGGUCAUGGGGCUUAGCUAUUAAUGAGAAAAGACAGACAUGAUGAGGCCUGAAAACUGAACACAGAAUUUAGCAACAUGCAGGUUACAGGCCCCUUUGACAAGACCCAAUAUUAUGAUGUAGUGGGAGGAAAGCCUGCCAGUAGGAGGUUCACAGGAGAAUGAAAAGAGAAAAAUUGAAGACAGUGACUGAGCAUGGACAGCUUUCAAUUGUGCUGAAAGGGAAAAAGAAGUAGGGCAAUAGUUGGAAGUAAAAGUGGGGCCACAGAUUUUUCUUUGUUUAGGAUUAAAAAAAAAAAAGCAUAUUUAUAUGGUGAUAGAAGAAGUCCAGUAGAGAAAGAGAAAUUGCUGGAGGUAUGUGUCCCGGAUGGAAUCCAAUCACAGGUUGAGGGGCUGGCCUUUUGCUAGGAGCGGGAAUUGUCCACAACACACGUCUAUCACACAUGGGAGAGACAGAGUCUAUGGACAAAGGUACAGGCUCAUGGGGACUCCUGGAAGUUCCUUUCUGGUUACUCUUUUUCCAGCAGAGACUGAACUAUAUGACCUAAUUGGCUUUAUUUACGCUACAGCUGCCAUUACUUUUGUUAACCAAGAAUACUCACAAGUAGUUGGCUAAGUUGUGCUCUUGUAAUGUAUGUGUUUCAAAACCAUGAGGGGUUGUGUCAAAGUAGUCAUUGCCAAUCCCACAGAUGAAACAUUUAGUCUAAGAAAAAUAACAGGCAGAAAAGGCAUUUGUUGGCAUAAUAUAGGCAGGAGAGAAAACUGUCAUGAUUCUAUCGAAUUGAAGGAUAAUGAAAACUUUCUUUCUAAUGCUUUUGGCUAUUAGUCAUUCACUCAGUAGUGCCAUACAUUGGCUAUUAGUCAUUCACUCAGUAGUGCCAUACACUUAGCUCCUGAUUAGCUGAGGAUACUGCUCCCUCCUAUUGUGGGACAGUGGAGGAGGCAGCAGAGUGGCCGGCCUGGCAGGGGUAUGGCAGGGUGCAGAGAACAGGGCAUGGAAAACAAACUGCGUUCUUGCUUAGUACUGGCCCUAAGUAAUAGUAAAACCUAUUGUUUAAAAAAUCUAUUUGCUUCUGGGGAUAUUAAAAUAGAGCUGGGAUUAGUAGUUAGAGUAACAUUACCUCCAUAUCUUCUCGUACUUGUUCCUGCUGGUCUCUUAGCUCUCCGAAAGCAUCAAUAAUAAGACCUGGAAUGUUAAAUACAAAGACAAAGCAAUCUGUGUAGUGGUUCAGGGGUAGAGGAAUGAUAAAGGAAGAAGCUACUUUGUUCUGUUAAAAAAAAAAAGUGAAUUAUCAAAGCAAAAUUAGAAAAAUAAUACUCGUGUUUCUUUGUGUUACAUCCUGGCUAACAAUUUCUCAUUGUUCCUCCUAACUCUACCUUUCUACACCAUGCAGUGCUGUUAACUACUUGCUCCUCCCUGAAACUCUUUCCUUUCUACUUCUCCCUGGUUGGUCUCCUAUUUUGCUUAGCUAUUUGUGUUCAGUCUGUGUGAUAGGCUCUCCCUCUUCUCCUAGCACCUCUGACACUGAGGUGGAUCAGGGUUCCUCCUCAGUUACUUCACUUCUUAGCCCUCAACACCUGCAUGUCUUACAGGUUCCUCCACUCAGCAUGACUCAAGCUAAAUUUAUCAUCUUUCUCCAAUCUUGACAAGCUGUUGACUAAAAUAUCAUUCUUUCCCUCCCCUCCCCUGCACUGUCCAGCUCCUCUGCUCCUACCCUACCUCCCUCUCUGGGAAGAAAAUGAAGAGGACAAGACUAGCCACAGGAGAGAUCUCAGAAGCAGAAGUGAGGAGUAAAUAAUUCAGAGUAGAGGAACAGAAGGAAGGGGUUCCUCUGUAUGGAUGAAGCUUCUUAUAACUGUGCCUGGGUGUGUAUUUGGCUUUAUAUAUAGCCAAAGCCUCAGGUAUAGUAGAUGCUAAAUUAGUUCUUGCUAAAUUAACAAGUAAAUGAAUUCACACGCUUCUUCAUAAACCAAUUAAGUCAUAGAUGGAAGAAAGCAAAAAGAACUAGAUUAAACCCUGUUCAUACUCAACACAAUUGGCAAUCAUACCUUGAAUGAUGGCCAGCAAGAUGACAAUGACGAAGAAGAAAAAGGUAAUGUCAAAGACAAUGCGAUACAUUUCAUAAGGAUCACCAGCAGGGUCUUCAAUUUCAUCACCAAUGCCACCUCCUGCUCUCACUCCCACGUACAUGUGGAAAAGGUAACACUAGAGAAGAAAAAUAAGGGGGAUUUAGGCAAAAGUCACAGUUCUGUUUUUAGCAAGAUGCUCAGAUCAUUCAUAUGAUUCGGUCAGAUUGUGGCAGCCCUAAGCCACGAGAGGGGAACUCUUCAGAGGUGCCAGUAUUCAUGCUGCUAGCUGCUGUCCACUGCACCCUCUGGACAGUUUGAUAUCUACAAAGAUGGAAAGACUGUCGUUACAUUUAGGCUUUUAAAAGGUAUUUUUAGGCCCAUUAAAGGUGUAUAUAAGUUAAAAGAUCUUUAAGCCUUGAUGAGUAUGGCCUAUGCCAUAUAAUAAUUUUUCCUCAUUUAAUUUUAAGAGUGUUAGCCUGGCCUUCAGGCUGUGCUAUAAACUGCAAAAAGGUCCCCCCUCUUCUUCAUCCACAUUCCCCUUACACCUGGUAGGGCAGGGAUUCCUGCAGCAGGAAGGUCAAAGGUAAUGGACUUUUCUGCUCCUCCUGUUCUGCAGGUUUGAGCCAAUCUAGGCACGGGCUCCCUGAGCAGGGCACCCUCUGUCUCUCCACCUGAUGGGUUGAUUAGACUCACAGAGAAAGGACCGUCUUACACCUGGAAAAUCAAAAGCCAGGGGCAGCCUGAAGACACGCUGGUCAUGCCAGUACUCUAGGGGCUAGGAUUGCUGUCUCAUGACGGUGCUUGGCCCGAGAAAGCACAUGGAGAGUUUUUCGUCAAGAAGUGUUACCUCUUUUAUGGAGAUGCUCACAGACUGGGCAUUUCACUGUCCCCUGUCCCUGAGACACAGAUUCUUUUUCUGAAAUCUGGUCAAAAUAAACUGGCGAUGUUGCUGCAGCCAAGCUGGCUUACUCUGGGCAGUGCCUUUUUUCUCACGAAGAUCUGGCCUGACGGGACUCCCCCUCCCCACCUCCAACCUGAUCCUGCUGCUGGCUGUCCGCAAAGAACCUCCGACUGGCUUGCUGAAAUAAAUCAAGUGCUUAAUCCCGGUCCAUGGGACUUUGCUCUCUGUUCUGAGAGACGAUGAUCAAAGCUCAACUUCCAUGAAAUUUAGACACUGGUUUCAUUCAUAAUAAUGUCUCAUCUUGGCCAGGUGCAGUGGCUCACGCCUGUAAUCCCAGCACUUUGGGAGGCAGAGGUGGGCAGAUCACCUGAGGUCGGGAGUUUGAGACCAGCCUGACCAACAUAGAGAAACCCCAUCACUACUAAAAAAAAUACAAAAUUAGCCAGGUGUGGUGGUGCAUGCCUGUAAUCCCAGCUACUAGGGAGGCUGAGGCAGAAGAAUCACUUGAACCUGAGAGGCGGAGGUUGCAAUGAGCUGAGAUGACGCCAUUGCACUCCAGCCUGGGCGACAAAAGCAAAACUCCAUCUCAAAAAAAUAAAAUAAUGUCUCAUCUUUACCCCGGAAAUAGAUGAAUGAUGACGCCACUGUGCAGGGUGCUUCCCUUUCCACGGGGCUUAGAUGUGUGGUAAUGAAAACUACCUCCAUCACUUCUGUCUUCCCAGGACACUCUCCUGUUUGGAGAAGACAUCUGUCUUCUACUUUAAUCUCUGCUGUGCUCUGUAACUAACUCUACAGUUCUCAAGAGCACCCCCACACAGCCCUUCUUCCCAGUGAGGUGGUGGGGCGGGGUGGCCCCGCAGUGGGUGGGCUGGCCCCGCAGUGGGUGGGCUCUCACCGUCAUCAUGUCGUCGCACUUCAUAUCGGGCUCGUCAUCGUCUUCGCUUUUGUUGUAGAACUUGCGGAAGAAGUUGAAAGCCACCACAGUAUAGAGAUAAACCACCACGGCCAGGAGACCGACAGUCAGAACCAACUGGGAAUGAGAGGACAGAGAAAGGAAAAGGAGUGGGGUCUUCUCUACCUUGAAAGGUUCACAGGAGACUCUAAGAAAACGAGGAGGAAGAGUGAGGACGGGCAAGGAGAGGAAAUGGGGAAGGGGUGGAGGGCGGCUAAGAAAGCUAUCAGGCCAUGAGCAGAGGAGGAAAGAUGGCACCACAGGUAAAGAGAAGCGGGCUUCCUGGCAGAAAAGAGUAAUGAUGGGGUGUUGGGGGCUGAAUUGUGUCCCUUCAAAUUCAUAUGCUGAGGUCCUGGCCUCCAGUACCUCAGAAUGUGACUGUAUUUGGAGAUGGAGAUACAGCCUUCAAAGAGGUGAGUAAGUUAAACUGAGGUUGUUAAGAUGGGCCCGCAACCAAUCUCACCGGCAUCCUUAGAAGAAAAGGAGUUGGAGACACAGAGAGAGAGGCUAGACACAGGCACACGUGAAGGGACGGUCAGGGGAAGCGGCAGCGAGAGGGUGCUGUCUACAGCCACAGAGAGGCCCCUGAGGAGACCAGGUGCUGGUGCUGCCAGCACCAUGAUACUGGACUUACUUACCGCCUCCAGAACUGUCGAAAAGACAUUUCUGUUGUUUAACAAAAUAGCAGUCUGUAGUACUUCGUUCUGGCAGCCCAAGCAGACUAAUGUAUAGGGCAUUAGAUUGGGCGUAAGUAAAAUAUAAAGGAACUUAAGUAUUGAAUAGUGCAGGUGCUGUGAGGAGGGAUACAUUGUGUUUUGUUAUUGUUCAUACAGAGCUAGCUGUUACCUGAGGCUUCACAAUGUAGCUUCUACUCUAAUGCUGCUGCUUAAAAAACCCCAGGCCGGGCAUGGGGUGGCUCACGCCUGUAAUCCCAGCACUUUAGGAGGCCGAGGCGGGCGGAUCACGAGGUCAGGAGGUCGAGAUCAGCCUGGCCAACAUGGUGAAACCCUGUCUCUACUAAAAAUACAAAAAUUAGCUUGGCGUGGUGGUGUGUGCCUGUAAUCCCACCUACUUGGGAGGCUGAGGCAGGAGAAUCGCUUGAACCCAGGAGUCGGAGGUUGCAGUAAGCUGAGAUCGCGCCACUGCACUUCAGCCUUGUGGCAGAGUGAGACUCCGUCUCAAAAAAACAAACAAACAAACAAACAAAAAACCCAAAGGUUCUUUGGACUGGUGGAUAUCCCUACCUUAUACUAUUUCAUAAAUAAUCAUGCACUGGAUAAUUGUCACAACUUUGAAGUUACUCUAAGAAUUAUGAUGGUGGAGCUGAGUCACACUUUUUAUUACAGAGAAUUCUGCCCAGGCCCUUUGCAGUGUCCUAGGGCACGCUUACUUCCAGGCUUUAGGAGUGAGAGUUCACUGGCUUAAGUGAGGAGUACACAGGACCUGCACAUCUGACCUCUCUCAAGGACUAGGCAUUGAGCUGGGAGAUAGGAAGAUCAACAGGAUCAGAGCUUUGCCUUCAAGGAGCCACACAAAAGGGAGUGGGUCCAUUCUGUUCUGCAUCAGUAGAAACCAUACCUGUUUGCCAUUGUGAGUUACAGAUGACAGAAUGGUCCUCAGUGUCUUGAAGCCCAUUGCGAUGUCCAAUAGGUGAGCAGCAAAGAAGAAGUUAUUGUAGUGGCCCAGGACUGACAUGGUUGUAUACCAGGCAAGGUAGAGAAAGGACUGGGAAUGGAAGAAAGCAGACUUUUAAGCAUGUUUGCCUCAUAGUGUGCUCAUUAUAAAACAUUUUUUCUUAUUUUGGGAGACACACUGAGGAUAGAGGGGGUUUAGGUGCUGAGGUGCUGUGAGCUGGCCCAAGAUCUGCUAAGUGAGCCCCAUCUACCUUAUACCAUUGUAUAAGUGUUCCCCCAGCACGUAUAAGGCUCUUGGUCUUUGAUAAGCAAUCCCUGAACCCUUCUGAGCAUCCUGCAUAGCUUGCUUCUCUGUGGCAUCCCUGAACUGGGGUAUAGAAUUUUGUUUUUCCAGGUGCAGUACUUACGUUGUCAGUAAAAACAACUCCAAGCUUCCAGAUAUGGUACUUCAUGUCUAUGGAACUUAGCCUAGAGAAGAACAAGUGAUUUUAAAACUUAUAAAUGUCAAGAGGUAGUUAAGUGCUCAAUAAGGGGGAAAAAGUAAGUUUUUUCUCUCAGGUUUAAUAACCUAAAUAUGGCUCUCAGCUUUAUCAAGUUGUAUGUGCUCCCCAUGAGACAAGAGAACAGUUGAAUCACAUAGCCUGAAUUUUUUUUUUUUUUUGAAACGGAGUCUCACUCUAUCACCCAGGCUGGAGUGUAGUGGCGUGAUCUUGGCUUACUGCAACCUCCACCUGCCAGGUUCAAGCGGUUCUCCUGCCUCAGCCUCCCAAGCAGCUGGGACUACAGGUGCCCACCACCACGCCUAGCUACUUUUUAAAAAUAUUAUUAGUAGAGACGGGGUUUCACUAUGUUGGCCAGGCUGGUAUCGAACUCCUGACCUCAUGAUCUGCCCACCUCAGCCUCCCAAAGUGCUGGGAUUACAGGUAUGAGCCACUGCGCCCAGCCCAACCUGAAAUUUUAAUUAAGUCUUUAUCUUUCAGCUCUAUAGGGCAUAAAAAUGUAUUAGUCUUCAAAUUUUUAAGGCAGUGCUCUCCCAGUGUUAGAACCUAGAAGAAACACCUAAGCCAGACCACAGCCUGAGAGAACAAAGACACGGUUGUGAUUUUUUCCUAUGGAAAAGCAAAGAUCUAUCUAUUUUAGCUGCUUUGGAUUUGAACUCCUAAGCUUUUUGUACCAUGACACCAGAGAAGCCGCUUCUGCUUUGGUCUCUUCUACUGGGCUAAAGUCAAGAGCAUUUUUGUCCAAACCCAGAAGUUCAGCAAUGCGUUCUGCUCCGUAGAGAUCUCCAUACUUGUUGAUCACCUGAAGCAAAGGAUGACAGGGUGAGCUCAGGCCACACGCCACCACCAAAUAUUUUCUAGCUCUGGGGUCUUCAGAGCUUUGCUGCCCUAUGGGCAAUCUUCCAAGGGGUAGAUGAAGACAUAGUUCAAAAUGCAGAAAAAAGAGAAAACCCAGAGAAAAAAGCAAUGAAGACAAUUAAAUGAUAACUGUUUUUUAAGCUGAUACUGAUAUCUUGAUUUGCAGGGGAGAAAACAUCUACUAUGCAGAAAACAAUGAGGACUGUGUUAACUUGUUUAAGGCAGAUGAGUAUAUGAAUGAAGCCAAAAACCUACAUAUGUUCAUAUCCAACCCCUUCUGUGACUUACUCUUCUUGAGAUAUUAUCAUAAAAGUAGCAUCACAUUUACUCAUGUUUGUAUGUGGAGAACUUAAAAAACAUACACCACAUUUUUUGGUGAUCACGGAACUCACCCCCACUAACAAGGCAUACCUUUCUCUUUACAAACUUGUCCCAGUAGUUAUUAGGAAAAGAUCUGAAAAACAAAACGAAAAAGGUUGGUUCUUCAUUCUUAACAUCAAGGAAAACACAUCAAGAAACGUUUCAGUUUGAGUGCCUGGAUCUGGGAUCUUUCUGGUUUGUGUCCUGCUCACCAAAGAAUUUUAAGAUCUGAUUGAAGUUCAGAGUCAUCACAGGCUCUACUGAGUCAUGUAUGGCUUCAUUACUUUGUAUUGGCUUUUGAAACACUCAGAAGGCCACUGGGCAGUUUCUGCCUCAGAAUUAUGAUUUGGAGCCAAGAAUUGUGAUGACAGAUUAGACAGAGACAGUUGUAUGUUUCUAAGUCCUUUCCCUAAUCCCAGUAUAACCAGAAACAAAAUGCUACAGAAAACACAGGCAUUCCAUUCAAUGAGUCACUACUUUAUGUCACCUACUGGGGUAGAUAAUGGCGAUGCGGGAUGUGGGGUGUGGUAGAAAGUGUAGAUAAAGUCCCUAACUAUAUGCAGUUUCCAGUCUGGGAAUCACCUUUAGUUUAUUUACAUUGGAUUUUUUAAGCUGAGUGUUUUUCCACUCUAUUUUCUAUUCCCACGUAAUGCCACAGGGCCUGCUUUCCUCCAGGAGUUGGAUCCCUUUCUUUUUUGGAGAUGGUUCUGUACCAUCCCCUAGCAUCCCCAGAGAGAUGAUCUUUCUUCUCUCUGUAGCUUGUACCAGCUCCACUGCAAAUAUUUCUUACUGUUAAAGUUAAGAAAGAACUGUCAUCUUCAGGAAUGCUUGCAAAAACCAUUGAAAAUAUGUUGUUCCUAUCCAGAAUUACUGAAUCCUUCCUGUGGGGGGGUUCCUUGUAAGACUGGAUUGCAGCCUAGGAGUCUCUGGCCUUUGGUGCAUGCAUUCUUACUUUUGUUUUCCUUUAUUUGAUUCAUUCUUUUUGGUUCUAGAACACAACAGUUCCCUAUUCUCCAGAGACCACCCAAGUUGGUGAUAAGGAAAUGGAGACCUCCUACUAUUCACUGACCUCUCAUGCCGCCUCUCCCCCAACAGGGUGGCAGUAUUUAAAAAAAAAUGUUUUUUUUUUUUGGUUUGUUAAAGCAGUUUCUUUGUCUUAAACAUUUAAAUGCCACUUGAAAGCAAAAACAAAUGCUGGUGUUACAGAGUAAACUGCUAAUAUUUUAUCUCUGGGGGAUGAAAAUAACAAUUAUUUUGACUUUCUUCCUUGUACAUUGCUCCUUGAUUUUUUUAUGCACUGCAUUUAAAUUGAAAAUAAAACAAAUAAAAAUCAAGCCAUGCGCUCUCUGCCACACUGA